UACGAAGGGGGCUAGCGUUGCUCGGAAUUACUGGGCGUAAAGCGCACGUAGGCGGCUUUCUAAGUCGGAGGUGAAAUCCUGGAGCUCAACUCCAGAACUGCCUUCGAUACUGGAGAGCUUGAGUCCGGGAGAGGUGAGUGGAACUGCGAGUGUAGAGGUGAAAUCGUAGAUAUUCGCAAGAACACCAGUGGCGAAGGCGGCUCACUGGCCCGGUACUGACGCUGAGGUGCGAAAGCGUGGGGAGCAAACAGG
rnacentral:rRNA from 1 species